GACGAACGCUGGCGGCGUGCCUAAUACAUGCAAGUAGGACGCAGUUGCGAACGGGUGAGUAACGCGUAGGUAACUACCUAUUAGAGGGGGAUAACUAUUGGAAACGAUAGCUCAUACCGCAUACUAGUAGAUGGAGCUGCGUUGUAGUAGCUAGUAGGUAGGGUAAUGGCCUACCUAGGUAACGUUACAUAGCCGACCCGGGAGGGUGAACGGCCAAACUUGGACUUGGACACGGGCCAGAAUCCUACGGGAGGCAGCAGUAGGGGAUCUUCGGCAAUGGGGGGAACCCUGACCGAGCCACGCCGCCGGAGUUGAGAAGGUUUUCGGAUCGGAAAGCUCUUUUGUUAAGGGAGCGGUACUUAACCAGAAAGGAACGGCUAACUACGUGCCAGCCGCCGCGGUAAUUC
rnacentral:rRNA from 1 species